rnacentral:rRNA from 1 species
UACGAGGGGGCGAGCGUUGUUCGGAAUUAUUGGGCGUAAAGGGCGCGUAGGCGGUGCGGUAAGUCACCUGUGAAACCUCUAGGCUUAACCUAGAGCCUGCAGGCGAAACUGCCGUGCUGGAGUGUGGGAGAGGUGCGUGGAAUUCCUGGUGUAGCGGUGAAAUGCGCAGAUAUCAGGAGGACACCGGUGGCGAAGGCGGGUCUCUGGGCCGUAACUGACGCUGAGGAGCGAAAGCGUGGGGAGCGAACAGG